rnacentral:piRNA from 1 species
AUUAGUAGUCACUUUGUGCUG